rnacentral:rRNA from 1 species
ACGAGACCUUCGGGUCUAGUGGCGCACGGGUGCGUAACACGUGGGAACGCGCCCUUCGGUUCGGAAUAACUCACGGAAACUUGAGCUAAUACCGGAUACGCCCUUACGGGGAAAGAUUUAUUGCCGAAGGAACGGCCCGCGUCCGAUUAGCUAGUUGGUGAGGUAAUGGCUCACCAAGGCGACGAUCGGUAGCUGGUCUGAGAGGAUGACCACCAUCACUGGGACUGAGACACGGCCCACACUCCUACGGGAGGCAGCAGUGGGGAAUAUUGGACAAUGGGCGCAAGCCUGAUCCAGCCAUGCCGCGUGGAUGAUGAAGGCCCUAGGGUU